CUACGGGACGCAGCAGGCGAGAAAACUUUGCAAUGUGCGAAAGCACGACAAGGUUAAUCCGAGUGGUUUCUGCUAAAGGAACCUUUUGUCGGUCCUAGAAACACCGAUGAAUAAGGGGUGGGCAAGUUCUGGUGUCAGCCGCCGCGGUAAAACCAGCACCUCAAGUUGUCAGGAUGAUUAUUGGGCCUAAAGCAUCCGUAGCCGGCCCUGUUAGUUUUCGGUUAAAUCUGUAUGCUCAACAUACAGGCUGCCGGGAAUACUGCAGAGCUAGGGAGUGGGAGAGGUAGACGGUACUCGGUAGGAAGGGGUAACAUCCUUUGAUCUAUUGAUGACCACCUGUGGCGAAGGCGGUCUACCAGAACACGUCCGACGGUGAGGGAUGAAAGCUGGGGGAGCAAACCGGAUUAGAUACCCCAGUAGUC
rnacentral:rRNA from 1 species